rnacentral:tRNA from 1 species
GGAGGCGUGCCGGAGUGGACGAACGGGACCGCCUCGAAAGCGGUUAGGGGCCUAAACCGCCCCUCGCGUGUUCGAAUCACGCCGCCUCCGCCA